ACAAAAUUUUUCUCCUUUACAGCUGCUAGAGCUGAAUGAUGCAGAAUUUCAGAACUCAAGGCAGAAUUUUGCGUAUGAUGAUGUAGUGCGUUCUAAAAGAGAUGCAUCCAACCAGCAUCCUUCUUCACCCGUGCAUGUUUAAAAGUACUUCUCGAAAAUUUCUGUUAAUCUUUGGAUCUUCAUUCCUCGCUUCAGACAUCAUCUUCUUUUCAAAUAGACUCCCAGUCUAUGUGUUUACCUAAGAAAUAUUUCAAUCAUCUAUUUUUGUCAUAUGUUUUGACUGAUUUUUCAUCUCUAAUUGUUCUCAAUGGAAUGUUUUCUUGUCAAACUUUCAAUUAAUAAAGCUGUUUAGUGGUGUCUGA